GGGCUCGUGGCACAGUGGUAGUGCAUGUGAUUCCAGAUCAGGGUCUAGUUUCCACAAGGUCAUCCGUUCAAUCCGGGUCGAGCUCA
rnacentral:tRNA from 1 species